AGCCUACGGGGCGCAGCAGUAGGGAAUCUUCCACAAUGGGCGCAAGCCUGAUGGAGCAACACCGCGUGAGUGAAGAAGGGUUUCGGCUCGUAAAGCUCUGGUGUUGGAGAAGAACGUGCGUGAGAGUAACUGUUCACGCAGUGACGGUAUCCAACCAGGAAGUCACGGCUAACUACGUGCCAGCAGCCGCGGUAAUACGUAGGUGGCAAGCGUUAUCCGGAUUUAUUGGGCGUAAAGCGAGCGCAGGCGGUUGCUUUGGUCUGAUGUGAAAGCCUUCGGGUUAAACG
rnacentral:rRNA from 1 species